rnacentral:rRNA from 1 species
GUGAGGAAUAUUGGUCAAUGGACGGAAGUCUGAACCAGCCAAGUAGCGUGCAGGAUGACGGCCCUAUGGGUUGUAAACUGCUUUUAUGCGGGGGUAAAGUGAGUGACGUGUCAUUCAUUGCAAGUACCGCAAGAAUAAGGACCGGCUAAUUCCGUGCCAGCAGCCGCGGUAAUACGGAAGGUCCUGGUGUUAUCCGGAUUUAUUGGGUUUAAAGGGAGCGUAGGCCGUCAGGCAAGCGUGUUGUGAAAUGUCGUGGCUCAACCAUGGACUUGCAGCGCGAACUGCCCGACUUGAGUGCGCGGAAAGCAGGCGGAAUUUGUGGUGUAGCGGUGAAAUGCUUAGAUAUCACGAAGAACCCCGAUUGCGAAGGCAGCCUGCUGUAGCGCUACUGACGCUGAAGCUCGAAAGUGCGGGUAUCGAACAGGAUUAGAUACCCGUGUAGUCC